CCUCCGGCCUCCCCUGCUCCCUCCGCCGGAGGCCGACUGGCUCAGGUUAGCACUGACUUGCAACUCGGAGACCCGUUGCCCUGGCAACCCCCGACGCGCGUGCGGCUGCCAAUGAGGCGGAGGGAGGGCGGGGCGGGGCCAAGGUGCCACCAGAGCGGGGUACGGGCGCCGGGGCUCGCGCCCCGUGUUCCCACCCGACCAGCCCCGGAGCCAGCGCUCGCCGAGGGAACCCAAGAUCCGCUGUCCGCAAACCUGGCACCGUGCCAGCACAGACCCGACGACAGACGCUGUCUACACUUCCAGCCACAGCGAGCCGUUUGGUGUGCGGUUGUGUGCGUCCAGAGCUGCAAGUCCAAGAAGAAGGAGCCAAGGACCGAGGAAACGCCGGCGCGCGACCCAGGACUCUGGAAAAGUGGCUCUCGAGGACGGACUGAGGGGCGCGGUCAUUGCCGGCCGUUCGUGUCCAGCGGCGUGGGCCCAGUCUUCCCGCUGGGGUCACUUUAGGAUAGUAACUCAGACCAUUGUUCCUUUCUGGGCUUUUUCAGACUGGGUCACAGCUGAGGAUCUGCGGGGACCCAAGCUUGGCUCCGCCCCCCUCCCCCGCCCAGUGCACCCGCAGUGCACAGCAGGUUCCUGGUUCGUGCACUCACACCCCCCUCUCCUGCCGAGUCCCUCCAGCUAUGCUCAAGGUCGGUGUGUGGCUGCGGUGGACGGAGGACUGGCGCACACGAGCGCCUUUGAGCACCACCAGUGAUGACCACGCUCGUUCUGGAACCGUUCCUCUUGCUCACGCUCCCACCUACAGCUUUUUGCCCAUGACUUCUCCCCUCCUGCACCAAGCCCUCCUGCCAGAGCUGCCAGCAGAAACACUCCCUCUGGUUUAUUGCCAGCCUGCCAUGGGCCCAGCACUAUGCUGAAAGCAUUGCGCUGAGUCCUUGCCACAGUCUAUGAGUGUUGAAGGUGGAAAGGAACUGGAUCCCCGAGUCAUCACUUGAAGACGAGCUAUCUGACCCACAUUAGACUGUGAAGAAAAUGAGAAAUAAAUUUUUAAUAUGUUUAA